AGUGUUUAUAUCUUUUAACCAGGGCCGGCGCUACCAUAAGGCAGGCCAAGCGGCUGCCUUAGGGCGCGCCCUGCGCAGGGCGGAAAACUGAAUGCCCUUCUUUUUUUUUUAUAACUUUCUUGAAUUUGUGCCGCAGCGCCGCC